GGAUCAUGGCUGUGUAGGGACCUGGGAACCACGCUGUCUCACCUUCAGGUGCUGUGGAUAUCUCACUGCAGCCUGGUAGACCUGGAUGCUCUCCCCUCCUCUCUCAAGGAGCUGUAUGUGGUCUACAACAGAGUGUCGAACCUGAGUCAGGUGAGCAUGCUGGAGAAUCUACAGCUGUUGGACCUGGAAGGGAAUGAUGUGGAUGACCUGGUGCAGGUGCAGUACCCAGACCUGCGCUCCCAACUCCGCACGCUCACCCUAGAGGGAAACCCUGUCUGUAUGCACCCCCACCCUAAUGCCACAGAGGAGAGAGCAGCCAGUGUGAGUGCCUACUCCAGACCCAGCUCUGGCCAGCGCCUAGCUAACAGCCUCUCCAGUUCCCGUCCCUCCAGCCGACCGGUCAGUGCAAGGCCCCUCUCAGCAGUUGACUCCAGACCCCUUUCUGGGUCGUGACCCUUAUCAGGGGCUGGGUCCAGAGUCCUCUCUCCUUCCGGGUCCAGAUCCGGUUCUGCUGAUGUAGGUCCAGCCUCUGUGGACCCAGACGCUAGCGUUCUGACGCACGUGCAGGGAAGAUCUUGUUCUGUGGAAAUCCUGUCCAGGCCCUCAGAGCCAGGUGACAGAAGAUGAGGAUGUCUAUUAGCCAUGGAGGGGGAUGGCCUCAGAUACUGCCCAUCCUCCACAGUGAUGAAGAGAAGGAUGAUGAAGGAAGUCUCAGCAUUUUCAGUGGCGAGGAGGUGGGUGGAAAAAGAGACGGGUCGAGUCACUGGGCAACUUACCUUUCCAGUCCCCCUCUUCAGAUGUGUUUCAGAUAAAAGCCAAAUCCCUUGAGGUGGCCUGUAUCUCCCUGUCCUCUGAAUCCACUCUGACGCCUUCUCCCCCUCAAAACGCCACAUCAGACCCUGGUGGCCGGAGGGUGUUAGAGCUGCGAGCGCGCAGACUGAGGCUUAGUGGUGGGGUGGCUGAGGCCAGAGCUGGGACUGCUGUAAAGCCUACUGACGACCACACAGAGCUAGGGCCAAUUAGAGGAGACCCAGGCUUGAGGAACCAAGGGCUACAGGAGUCUAUGAGGCCCAAAGUCCCUGUGCUUCCCCAGGCUACUCCCCACCUGCCACACAGCCUCCAUCCCCCUAGUCCAAGGGCUCAGUCACCGACAGGCAGAGCUUCUGUGCAGUCCAGCAACGGGCAUCAACCAAUCCCCUCGUACAGACCACCAGAGAGGAUGACCAUCAUGUUUAGGGAAGAGGACCCUGGGGGCUGGAUUACAUCCAACAAUCACCUGAAGAGUGGAACAUAGGAAGUUCACACUUGGAUUCCAUAGAUUCUAUCUCAGUGUAUUGACUCCCUCUGCUGGACAGUUAUAGAAUCACUUGCAUCCCUCUUUUCUUUCCCAGCUCAGAAUUGUACAGUACUGACCUCACAGUGCCUUUACUGAGGACAACAGCCCUUGUAGGAGUGGGGGGGCACAGUCCCGAAAUUGCAUUUUUUGUAGCCCACUGUUUUAUCAUUGGAAUGUGAUACAAAACAAGGCAACGGUGUGCUUAAGGACCAUGUGGACGACCUCCGAGCGGUCGGAUAGGCUGUUUGGAGUGUUCAUCCGACUGGAUUAAAAAAAGUAAUAAUAAUGUCCCCCCAUCUUCUAAAACCAAAGUUGUGCCCCUGAUCAUAGCAAAAGUAAUGAAGACAUCACAUGGAGUUUUCUAAAUGAAAUAGUGUAUGUGCAUAUAAUCAGACUGUGUCAGAGUGCUUUAGGCUAGUACUAACACUACUGAAGCUUUUUCUGAAUAUUUGGGGAAAGUUAGUUGGCCAGUGUUCCUGCUUAGAGAAAUACCCCUGAGCUGCUGGAUCAGGACCAGUGCUAUUGUGAAGCUUACAAUGGAAAGGUCAGGACCAGAGAGAGGAAAACUGAUCCUAAAUCAGUUCCUAUGGGUAGAAUGAAAUUUAAGUGCUGUUUGUUUUGACUGGAGAAACUCUGUGACACCCUCCUCUUCAUGUGGCGUCCCAUGUCGACAACAGCUGAACAAUUUUAAACCAAGCUGACAUAUUUGAGCAAGCCCAAUCCUGUUCCGGGAGACCGGGAAUCCACACACACAUACACACUCACACAGCAAACUGAGGGCCUGAUUCCAGUCCACAUGCCUGUCAGUUCCGCUUCAUUGCGGUCUCAGGCAACAGGACACAAAUAAAGGAGCAAUAGAAUAACAAAACAUUGUCUGUCAUCACAACCACAGACUACUGUUAGAUUACUUACUACCAUAGAAGACUUGUGUGGGAUUAAUGGAUACACAGAAACACAGAAAAUACCAUACGAAGGUGCGUGUUUCAACCACGAGACUGUCCUUACAUAACAAGAAGAAGCUGUUGGUUUGACUUGCCUGAAUAACCUGAUGCAUUUUGCUGCCUCCUGUCUGAGCCCAUCUGUGCAGCCGUUUCCCAACACGCACCUGUGCUCUCACCAGCCAUGUCUCACAUGAUCUGUAUAGCUGGCACCCUGUUGGGCCUUCUCAACUGCAAUGCCUACUUACUGCUCAUCUCAUUUAACCAGAGAAUUUAAUUCUCUGAGGUUAACACUCUUGGCAAAGGGCAAUCAUCCACACUGCCUGCUAGUGAUGAGAGAGAGAGAGGGAGAUCUAUGCAGCAGACAUCUGGAGAGGGAAGCUCAGUCAGGGGUCCAGGUAGUAGGCUCAUUUAACAGGUUUAUAAUUUGACUGUGGAAAGACAGACUCCCAGCUGGUGGUGACUGACUGGAAUUUGGAUUGUAGAGAGCUUGGCCCUGCUCACCAGUCAUUAGUCUGUAACCAACCAGGUGCACUGUAAAUGUAGCCUGCAGGUUGUAUAUAUCCUCUCCCACCAUUACACCACACACUGAAGUCUACUAGCGUUAUCAUAAAACGAGAAAAUACCUUCACCACUAUACAAGGCUGCUAUUUGUAACCAGCUGACCACUACAUAAAGAUGACAGACCACAUAGUAAAGGGCCUGGUAACAGACUAUGUCAGGGUGUGGGUACAUUGGUUGGACCCUUCUGCCCCUGGGUUACUGUGAAUGGAACACUAUCAUUACAACCUUGUUGGGAGAUGAUUGACACUGUUGGUAUGGCAGCAGGUGGAAGGAAGAUGCUUUUUCUUUGAUAUCAAAUUAAAAAGACAAUUAUACCACC